rnacentral:rRNA from 1 species
AACGAACGCUGGCGGCGCGUCUUAAGCAUGCAAGUCGAACGGCAAGAGAGAAGCUUGCUUCUCUCCUAGAGUGGCGGACUGGUGAGGAACACGUGGGUAAUCUACCCUUAAGAUGGGGAUAGCUGCUAGAAAUAGCAGGUAAUACCGAAUACACUCAGUUUUUCAUAAGAAGGAUUGAGGAAAGGAAGCUACGGCUUCGCUUGAGGAUGAGCUUGCGUCCCAUUAGCUUGUUGGUGAGGUAACGGCUCACCAAGGCGACGAUGGGUAUCCGGCCUGAGAGGGUGAUCGGACACAUUGGGACUGAGAUACGGCCCAAACUCCUACGGGAGGCAGCAGCUAAGAAUAUUCCGCAAUGGACGAAAGUCUGACGGAGCGACGCCGCGUGGAUGAAGAAGGCUGAAAAGUUGUAAAAUCCUUUUGUUGAUGAAGAAUAAGGGUGAGAGGGAAUGUUUCAUCUGAUGACGGUAAUCAGCGAAUAAGCCCCG